GUCAUAUGACGGAUGGAUGUGGAGUUUCUACAGCAUUGGAGGUUUGAAAAGAAAGGCUCCCAAAAGUCUGUGGCAGAAGCAGGUGAGAGGGGAAAAGAGAGAAACCACAAGAAACAACAGCUUGUUGAGACCUUUCUGAAGCUGAUGUUCCAGACACAGAGGGCAUAGAAUGAGGAAUUGACUCACAGUCUCCCUUGGAGGCAUGGGAGGUGGCUAUGCAGACAGGAAAGGUUCAACGAGGAGCCCUAGACCACCCAAGGCCUUUCACAAGGGGCCAGAAGGUCAUGCAGCCAAUUGGAAGAGGCCAACGUGUAUGCGUAGCUCUAUAGGAAGUGCCUCAGUCACUGGGACUGACUUUCCCAGAUUGGCCGUAUUCCAUCGUCAUCCUAUUUCGUCCAGUGCUUCCAUUUUGAAAGCAGAGCAUAUCACCUUCUUUGAUGCGGGCACACCAUUCUGGGCAGUCCUGUGCCAGAGUCUCCCAUAUCUUAUGAAGGAUUCUAAAGCUCUUCAGUGAGACCUUGAGAGUGUCCUUAUAUGGCUUCUUCUGCCCUCCCUGUGAGCGCUUGCUUUGGGUGAGUUCCCCGUAAAAUAGUCUUUUAGGCAAAUGUAUAUUUGGCGUUCAAACAACAUGGCCAACCUAAGGGAGUUGCACUGUGCAGUAGAGUCUGAAUGCCUGACAGUUCAGCUUCAGAAAGGACUCAGUGUCCAAAUACCUUAUCUUGCCUAUCAGAAUCUUCCUAAGACAAUUCAAAUGGAAGUGAUUCAGUUUACUGACAUGGUACUGGUAAUCUGUCCAGGUUUCACAAGCAUAUAACAAUGAGGUCAGCACAAGGACUCCAUAGACCUUCAGUGUGGAAGGCAGCCUAGUACCUCUUCUCUCCCACACAUUCUUUCCAAGACUCCCAAACGCUGAGUUAGCUUUGGCAAUGUGUGCAUCAACCUUAUCAUCAGAAGGUAGAUGGUGGAUGCAAGAAGUAUUAUCCCCAUUAGACAGAUGAGAAGACUAAGACCCAGAAAGGUACCUUGCUGCAGGUCACAUAAUUGAACUGGGGCUUGAAACUAGAGCUUCUGCCUCCAAAGCCAGUGCUGGGAAGAAGGCUCCCUCUCUAAUCCUGAUACAGCUGAACCUAAUUAGACAUGGAGCUGUAAGAUACCUUGGACAGCAUCUAGUCCAACCUCAUUUUAGAGAUGCGAAAACAGAGACUUACCAAACGAGCUAUCUCAUGGACAUCUCAUACUCAACAUGGACAUGAACUCAUGAUCUUUCCCACCAAAUCCUCCCCUCUUCCUAACUUUCUCUGAACUCCAAGAUCAAGUAUAAAUUCCUCCAUCUGGCUUUUAAAGUCUUUUAUAAACUGGCUUCUUCUUGUCUUUCCAGUCUCAUUCCUCAUACGUUAACUCUCUCCUCCCCCCACUACCUCCUCAUACUCUGCCAUCCAAUGACCAUGGCUCCCAUGCUCUUCUUCCCACUGCAUACUCCUAUCUCCGUACUCUAGGCAUUUUCACUUGCUUUUCCCUAUGCCUGGAGCUCUUUCCCUCAUCUCUGCCUCCUGGCUUUCCUGACUUCCUUCAAGUCCCAGCUAAAAUCUCACCUUUAGCCUGAAGCCUGUCUUUUGUUGUGGUUCAAUUAUUUCAGUCUGUCCCACUCUUUGUGAUUGCCUUUGAAUUUUCUUGGCAGAAACACUGGAAUGGCUUGCCA